rnacentral:rRNA from 1 species
GACGAACGCUGGCGGCGUGCUUAACACAUGCAAGUCGAACGAAGUGGCGAACGGGUGAGUAACGCGUAAUCAACCUGCCCUCCAGCGGGGGACAACAGUUUGAAACGACUGCUUAUACCGCAUACUGAAGGAGGGGAUUGCGUCUGAUUAGCUAGUUGGGGGGGUAACGGCCCACCAAGGCGAUGAUCAGUAGCCGGUCUGAGAGGAGGGACGGCCACAUUGGGACGGGGACACGGCCCAGACUCCUACGGGAGGCAGCAGUGGGGAAUCUUCCGCAAAGGAAGAAAGUCUGACGGGGCAACGCCGCGUGAGGGAUGACGGCCUUCGGGUUGUAAAGCUCUGUUAAUCGGGACGCGGUAGCGGAAUAGAAAGCCACGGCUAACUACGUGCCAGCAGCCGCGGUAAUAC